CAGUCGCCACGGUAAUACGUAGGGCGCAAGCGUUAUCCGGAAUUAUUGGGCGUAAAGAGCUCGUAGGCGGUUUGUCGCGUCUGCCGUGAAAGUCCGGGGCUCAACCCCGGAUCUGCGGUGGGUACGGGCAGACUAGAGUGAUGUAGGGGAGACUGGAAUUCCUGGUGUAGCGGUGAAAUGCGCAGAUAUCAGGAGGAACACCGAUGGCGAAGGCAGGUCUCUGGGCAUUAACUGACGCUGAGGAGCGAAAGCAUGGGGAGCGAACAGGAUUAGAUACCCCCGUAGUCCCUGUCUCUUAUAC
rnacentral:rRNA from 1 species